rnacentral:rRNA from 1 species
AUGUUUGAUGUUCUAACGUGGACCCGUAAUCCGGGUUGCGGACAGUGUCUGGUGGGUAGUUUGACUGGGGCGGUCUCCUCCUAAAGAGUAACGGAGGAGCACGAAGGUUGGCUAAUCCUGGUCGGACAUCAGGAGGUUAGUGCAAUGGCAUAAGCCAGCUUGACUGCGAGCGUGACGGCGCGAGCAGGUGCGAAAGCAGGUCAUAGUGAUCCGGUGGUUCUGAAUGGAAGGGCCAUCGCUCAACGGAUAAAAGGUACUCCGGGGAUAACAGGCUGAUACCGCCCAAGAGUUCAUAUCGACGGCGGUGUUUGGCACCUCGAUGUCGGCUCAUCACAUCCUGGGGCUGAAGUAGGUCCCAAGGGUAUGGCUGUUCGCCAUUUAAAGUGGUACGCGAGCUGGGUUUAGAACGUCGUGAGACAGUUCGGUCCCUAUCUGCCGUGGGCGCUGGAGAACUGAGGGGGGCUGCUCCUAGUACGAGAGGACCGGAGUGGACGCAUCACUGGUGUUCGGGUUGUCAUGCCAAUGGCACUGCCCGGUAGCUAAAUGCGGAAGAGAUAAGUGCUGAAAGCAUCUAAGCACGAAACUUGCCCCGAGAUGAGUUCUCCCUGAGACUU